rnacentral:rRNA from 1 species
ACACGACUACAUUAGAUACCCGGGUAGUCCUAGCCGUAAACGAUACUCGCUAGGUGUCGGCCACGGUGCGACCGUUGUCGGUGCCGUAGGGAAGCCGUGAAGCGAGCCACCUGGGAAGUACGGCCGCAAGGCUGAAACUUAAAGGAAUUGGCGGGGAGCACCACAACAGGUGGAGCCUGCGGUUUAAUUGGACUCAACGCCGGGAAGCUCACCGGAUAGGACAGCAGAAUGAUUGCCGGGCUGAAGACCCUGCAUGACUAGCUG